UACAGAGGGGGCAAGCGUUGUUCGGAAUUACUGGGCGUAAAGGGCGCGUAGGCGGCCUCUUAAGUCGAACGUGAAAUCCCCGGGCUCAACCCGGGAACUGCGUCCGAUACUGGGAGGCUUGAAUCCGGGAGAGGGAUGUGGAAUUCCAGGUGUAGCGGUGAAAUGCGUAGAUAUCGAUCGGAACACCCGUGGCGAAGGCGGCUUGCUGGCUCGCAACUGACGCUGAGGCGCGAAAGCGUGGGGAGCAAACAGG
rnacentral:rRNA from 1 species